ACCCAGCUGACGAGUCCCAAACAGAACGAAACGCGUGUCCUGAAU
rnacentral:hammerhead_ribozyme from 1 species